rnacentral:lncRNA from 1 species
UGGCCUCUCAUCGUCCUUCCCGUCCCCAUUGCCCUCACCGUCCCCAUCACCAUCGUCAUCACUGUCGAUCUUGCCGAUCGGCCUAAGGUAUGCCUCUUCCUCCUCUUCUACCUGUGUGCCAUCUGUACCGACCUCUCGCCUCUUUGAUCGAAACCCUAACCUCUUCCUCAAGUUGCCAUCCUCCUUCUCUGUCCCCACUGCCAACUUCCAAUUGUACACAGACCUUCCCGAUCGAUUUAGCUGGUUAUGCCGAUGAUGGCGGCAGAAAGAAAUCUUUGAUGCUUUUAGAUUUUAUUUGGUUAAGCCAUUGAAUUCUUAUGGUUGUUUUCAGGAACCGUUAGGUUUUGAUUGGGUAUUUGGUAUGGGCCACUAUUAAGCAAUUUAUAUAGCAUUUAGCAUAACUG